CACAAAUAUACAAGAGAAGACUCCAGAUCCAAUCCCAGAAUUCCUGCUCACCUGUAAUCGGAAGUCUACUGGACGAAAGCGGCAACAUUGCGAUAUUUCCUGCUUAAUAUUUUCAGGCACAAUGAAUGAUAUUAAGGGCAGGUGCGCCACAUUGGGGGAAGAUGCAAAGCAGAAAUACAUUCAAGAGGCAGCAGCACUGAGGGCACAUGGGCAGGCACAGGACACUAAACCCUGAGAUGGAGGCAAUUUGUGCUGUGUCUGCUGCGUCCAUUUUGAUGAUAAGAAGAAGAAUGCAAGAAAGAAGUGGCAUUCAUGGUCUCAGUGCACAGUGUGCCAAUCAUGGUCACACACAGCACGUGGCUUUAAAAAGAACAUGUGCCUUCACUGCCAGGGUCAAGACACCAUGCAAACACCCUGAAUAUGUAUCUUGUUCCUUGUUUGAGUUGUUUUUACUGUGUUGACGGCCCCCAACCCAUCCAUACAAACACACACACACACAAUACAUACAUAUGCUGCAAAUUUAUUGUAAUGACCACACUUCACACGUAAGAAGAAAAUUGUGAUCUUUUUGUUAUUUUCAUUCACCCCAUUUUUAUUUAUUAUUGUUGUUUGUUGGCACCAUCAAUGUGUUCUCCUUUAUACAGGACUUAUGUGGGGACCAAUAAAGUUAUAUUGUACUGAA